ACACACACCCGGCGGCUCCCCCCACCACACGGUGACUCCCCCUCACACAGCAGCUCCCCCCACACACGGCCCUCCCCCCACACACACACCCGGCGGCUCCCCCCACCACACGGUGACUCCCCCUCACACAGCAGCUCCCCCCACACACGGCCCUCCCCCCACACACACACCCGGCGGCUCCCCCACACAGAGCUGGGAGGCUCCAGUACUCUCGGAGCUUGGCUGGGGCUCCUGGGGAGGGCCGUGGCUCCUCCUCACCCGCUGGGGAGCCAGGAGUUCCGUGAGUGGUUGAAGCCCUGCUGGGAGGGUUGGGCGUUUCCAGCCAUUCUCACACGGCUUCUCAGCCGGGGUCUCCCACCCCGGCCCUGGCCCUGGGCCUGCCCUCACUGCCUCCUCCCCAUCCCCUACCCCUAGAGGCCUCCUGCCCUGGUCACCUACGCGUCACCUAAGCCCCGAGGCCAGGCGGCUUCUUGUCUACUAAAGACUUCCGGAGAGAGGCAUUCACCCUGUGGUCAGAGCUGGGGUUUCCAUGGAGGAGCACCACAGCCAUAAAGAAAGGCUGGUGAGCCCCAGAGCGGAGGACCCUGCCGAGCUGUUUCCAGACUCCUGAUCCACAGAAACCGUGAGAGGAUAACAUUGUUCUGCUUGAAGCCACUACACCUGCCGUCACUUGUCUCGCAUCAUUAGGGAACCAACGUGCUCUGGAAGACAGCAACUCUCAGGGUCCAUUCCGCUGACACCAGCGCCUCAGAUGACACAGGACGUGGCAUGGUGGCUAUUGACUCAUCAAGGGAACAGCAAUGGCCACUCUGCACCUUGCAUUCCUAUCCUUUUUUGGGCUUCAGAUCAGAAAUCGCAACUUUUGCGUGGAGAUCCUGGGCCUCCACACUGCUGGCCUCCCAUCGUCCCAAGAAUGACUCCCUGGAAAGAGCCUGUUCAGACCCUUUGUGACUGGACUCUACUGUAAGAGGAGAAUCAAAUGCUUGCAAGAAAACUGUAAAGCAGAGUUUCCUAAAAUACAUUUCAUAAGCAACAGGGUGCCUGCUCGCUCAUCACACAGGUUGGAUAAGAUCGACAGGAAAAACCCCUCCAACAGCACAGCAGAGCAGCACAGAGCCCUGCCUCUCUCCAGCUGGGGAAGUCGGGAGCUGAAGUGGAAAGCUGGUUGAAGAACAAUGUGAAAAAAAUGAGGCCUGACUCAAUUCCUAAAAGCGGCUGCCUGACCUUAUGCAAGCCACAGCUUCUAUUUACAAACCCAGGAAACUGGACAAAAUACUGAAAGGAUCCCCUAAGAUAAUGAGAGUUAACAACAGAUGCAAAGCAAGGUUCUGUGGAAAUGUAAGGUCGUGUUACCACGCAGGGCUGAAAAGCUUUCCUGACUACUUUCUGAUUUGCGUAUACUAAGGACUAUUUCAAGAGGGUGACAUUUUAUGAAUUAAAGGCAUGCCACUUCCAUUCACAGUGCUGUUCUGAGAGAUUCGAUUCUGUCCUUGACAAUCUAAGAAAAUCUUAACUCUGCAUUAUGUAAAUACUAAGGACACGGGGUGUUUCGAAUGAGACCAACCUCGUAUCUCUCUCAACUCCCUCUCCUCCCGGGGCCACCCUUUUCUUUAAUUGAAAGCACAAUAAACUUAAUCAGCUGCUCCUAACGAUGCCUGCCCCAGCCUGGGAGAUUCAGCAAGGCUUGGGGCGUGCAUGACAAAGAAACACACACUCCAGAAUCUCACUUUUGUUAUUCCCCAGCCAUCUUUUGUUAUGUGGCAUGGGAAAAAUCUUAAUGAGCCUGCCCUGCUGCUGCAGAAAUUCUUGUCAGAUGAAAAGCAGCCCCUCCUUCCACCUGGCAAGGGCUUACAGAGAACACAGCAGCCCACAUCUACUCACGUUUCCUGAAACAAUCCCCUAUUUAACUUCCUAGGCAACAGAAAAUCUGAAGAAAAUGAGAUACCACAGAAGAUGAAUUUGAUGUAACAAAAAGGUGUUUUAAAAAGAUAAGUAGAGAGGCCAUCCUACAAAAUUUCAUGGCUGACAAUGGUAAAAAAGAUGCAGAAAAGGACCAUCUGGCCUGAAAAAUUCAGCCGGGGUCGGGGGAGGGGGUCCCGCAGCAGAGGCCAGGCCUUCAAGGAUGGGGAUCCUCUUCUGUCUUCCUUUUCUCAAAAUGUUUGUUGGAUGAUGGACUUAAUUUUAAAACCCCAAGUCACUGCGGUUUAGCCAGCUAUGGAUGAUGAAAGCACUACAAUCAUUGAAACUGACAAGGAGGCAGUUUCCUUCAAAAAUACGAAAACUGUACGCAGAGUACAUGGAGAAAAAUGUGACACAAGCAUUUGGACACACUACUAAACAACAACAUGGGACAAUAUAGACAACAAUUGGAAAUACACUUUGAGGAGGUAAAAAGUUCAGUAUUCACUGGCUUCCUUUUGGAGGUUGUUAAAUUGCUGAAAUUCAAAUAAAAGUCAUUGAGCCAUUGUGUCUGUCAGCUGUGCCUCUAUCUCACCCCCGGGUGGGUGGAGGUCCCCCUGGCUUUAUUCUCUGUGUUGUUGCUGCAGAUCCAGAUUCAGGAUUCCGCCCUGAAGGUCUGCGUUCCCUCCCGAGACAGCCUCUGUUUCAAAAUGCACAGCCAUUCUUGACAGACAAGAAAGGGAUGUUGAAAAACAAGUCAUGCUUUGGAUUCGUGUGGCUUUGAGAUACAGAACGAAUGAAUUAUUUCCUGCCUGGCCCAGAACACUUUGCCUCGGUACAGGAGUGUCAAGGCAGAGUGGGUGGGGAAGAUGAAGGGUGAGGGAAGCAAUUGCAAUUAAAAUCCAUAAGGAGCCGGAGAAGGUGGUGCUCAUAGAUGGAUCCCCUAACUGAGUUUAGAGGGCACAGGAGGAGGCGAAGGGAAGCAGUCUUUCAUAUAUGUGACUUAGGAAAUAUAUAAGGAUUGUGUAUUUUACGGCACUUAUGAGAUGGGAUAAUUCCUUGACUCUUUCAUGGGUAGGAACUGGAGUGCACCUCUGGGUCCAGUUGGCCACUUCAGCACUAGCAGGGACGAACUUCAAUCACUUGAACCUGCUGGACUCAACCCCUCAUGGGAGGGAGCACAUAGGCGAGUGGGUGCUGGGACCCUGGCAAGGGC
rnacentral:lncRNA from 1 species